GACGAAGGUGGCUAGCGUUGUUCGGAAUCACUGGGCUUAAAGAGCACGUAGGCGGCCUGUUAAGCAUCUUGUGAAAUCCCUCGGCUCAACCGAGGAAUUGCUGGGUGUACUGUCAGGCUUGAGGCAAGUAGGGGCGCAUGGAACUCUUGGUGGAGCGGUGAAAUGCGUAGAUAUCAAGAGGAACGCCGGUGGCGAAAGCGAUGCGCUGGGCUUGUCCUGACGCUGAGGUGCGAAAGCCAGGGGAGCAAACGGG
rnacentral:rRNA from 1 species